rnacentral:rRNA from 1 species
AGAGACAGCAGUAGCCGCGGUAACACGUAGGUGGCGAGCGUUGUCCGGAAUUAUUGGGCGUAAAGGGAGCGCAGGCGGACAUAUAAGUCCAUCUUAAAAGUGCGGGGCUCAACCCCGUGAGGGGAUGGAAACUGUAUGCCUUGAGUGCAGGAGAGGAAAGCGGAAUUCCCAGUGUAGCGGUGAAAUGCGUAGAUAUUGGGAGGAACACCAGUGGCGAAGGCGGCUUUCUGGACUGUAACUGACGCUGAGGCUCGAAAGCCAGGGGAGCGAACGGGAUUAGAUACCCGAGUAGUCCCUGUCUCUUAUACA